rnacentral:rRNA from 1 species
UACAGAGGGUGCGAGCGUUAAUCGGAAUUACUGGGCGUAAAGCGCGCGUAGGCGGCUUUGUAAGUUAGAGGUGAAAGCCCGGGGCUCAACCCCGGAAUUGCCUUUAAGACUGCAUCGCUUGAAUCCGGGAGAGGUGAGUGGAAUUCCGAGUGUAGAGGUGAAAUUCGUAGAUAUUCGGAAGAACACCAGUGGCGAAGGCGGCUCACUGGACCGGUAUUGACGCUGAGGUGCGAAAGCGUGGGGAGCAAACAGG